AGACUCCUACGGGAGGCAGCAGUAGGGAAUUUUCCGCAAUGGACGCAAGUCUGACGGAGCAACGCCGCGUGUGUGAAGAAGGCCUUUUGGUUGUAAAGCACUUUAAGCGAGGAGGAGGCUCUUCUAGUUAAUACCUAGGAUGAGUGGACGUUACUCGCAGAAUAAGCACCGGCUAACUCUGUGCCAGCAGCCGCGGUAAUACAGAGGGUGCGAGCGUUAAUCGGAUUUACUGGGCGUAAAGCGUGCGUAGGCGGCUUUUUAAGUCGGAUGUGAAAUCCCCGAGCUUAACUUGGGAAUUGCAUUCGAUACUGGGAAGCUAGAGUAUGGGAGAGGAUGGUAGAAUUCCAGGUGUAGCGGUGAAAUGCGUAGAGAUCUGGAGGAAUACCGGUGGCGAAGGCGGCCCCCUGGACGAAGACUGACGCUCAGGUGCGAAAGCGUGGGGAGCAAACAGGAUUAGAUACCCUGGUAGUCCACGCCGUAAACGAUGUCGACUUGGAGGUUGUGCCCUUGAGGCGUGGCUUCCGGAGCUAACGCGUUAAGUCGACCGCCUGGGGAGUACGGCCGCAAGGUUAAAACUCAAAUGAAUUGACGGGGGCCCGCACAAGCAGUGGAGCAUGUGGUUUAAUUCGAUGCAACGCGCAGAACCUUACCAGCCCUUGACAUGGGCCGGACCGGCCGAGAGAUCGGCCUUCCCCGCGAGGGGCCGGCCGCACAGGUGCUGCAUGGCUGUCGUCAGCUCGCGUGUCGUGAGAUGUUGGGUUAAGUCCCGCAACGAGCGCAACCCCGUGAUUAGUUGCUACGAAAGGGCACUCUAAUGAGACUGCCGGUGACAAACCGGAGGAAGGUUGACGUCAAGUCCUCAUGGCCCUUAUAGGUGGGGCUACACACGUCAUACAAUGGCUGGUACAGAGGGUUGCCAACCCGCGAGGGGGAGCUAAUCCCAUAAAACCAGUCGUAGUCCGGAUCGCAGUCUGCAACUCGACUCCAUGAAGUCGGAAUCGCUAGUAAUCGCGGAUCAGAAUGUCGCGGUGAAUACGUUCCCGGGUCUUG
rnacentral:rRNA from 1 species